rnacentral:rRNA from 1 species
ACGUACACUCCUACGGGAGGCAGCAGUGGGGAAUAUUGCACAAUGGGCGCAAGCCUGAUGCAGCCAUGCCGCGUGUAUGAAGAAGGCCUUCGGGUUGUAAAGUACUUUCAGCGGGGAGGAAGGCGAUAAGGUUAAUAACCUUGUUGAUUGACGUUACCCGCAGAAGAAGCACCGGCUAACUCCGUGCCAGCAGCCGCGGUAAUACGGAGGGUGCAAGCGUUAAUCGGAAUUACUGGGCGUAAAGCGCACGCAGGCGGUCUGUCAAGUCGGAUGUGAAAUCCCCGGGCUCAACCUGGGAACUGCAUUCGAAACUGGCAGGCUAGAGUCUUGUAGAGGGGGGUAGAAUUCCAGGUGUAGCGGUGAAAUGCGUAGAGAUCUGGAGGAAUACCGGUGGCGAAGGCGGCCCCCUGGACAAAGACUGACGCUCAGGUGCGAAAGCGUGGGGAGCAAACAGGAUUAGAAACCCGGGUAGUCCCAUG